UUAAGCGACUAAGCGUACACGGUGGAUGCCCUGGCAGUCAGAGGCGAUGAAGGACGUGCUAAUCUGCGAUAAGCGUCGGUAAGGUGAUAUGAACCGUUAUAACCGGCGAUUUCCGAAUGGGGAAACCCAGUGUGUUUCGACACACUAUCAUUAACUGAAUCCAUAGGUUAAUGAGGCGAACCGGGGGAACUGAAACAUCUAAGUACCCGAGGAAAAGAAAUCAACCGAGAUUCCCCCAGUAGCGGCGAGCGAACGGGGAGCAGCCCAGAGCCUGAAUCAGUGUGUGUGUUAGUGGAAGCGUCUGGAAAGGCGCGCGAUACAGGGUGACAGCCCCGUACACAAAAAUGCACAUACUGUGAGCUCGAUGAGUAGGGCGGGACACGUGGUAUCCUGUCUGAAUAUGGGGGGACCAUCCUCCAAGGCUAAAUACUCCUGACUGACCGAUAGUGAACCAGUACCGUGAGGGAAAGGCGAAAAGAACCCCGGCGAGGGGAGUGAAAAAGAACCUGAAACCGUGUACGUACAAGCAGUGGGAGCACGCUUAGGCGUGUGACUGCGUACCUUUUGUAUAAUGGGUCAGCGACUUAUAUUCUGUAGCAAGGUUAACCGAAUAGGGGAGCCGAAGGGAAACCGAGUCUUAACUGGGCGUUAAGUUGCAGGGUAUAGACCCGAAACCCGGUGAUCUAGCCAUGGGCAGGUUGAAGGUUGGGUAACACUAACUGGAGGACCGAACCGACUAAUGUUGAAAAAUUAGCGGAUGACUUGUGGCUGGGGGUGAAAGGCCAAUCAAACCGGGAGAUAGCUGGUUCUCCCCGAAAGCUAUUUAGGUAGCGCCUCGUGAAUUCAUCUCCGGGGGUAGAGCACUGUUUCGGCAAGGGGGUCAUCCCGACUUACCAACCCGAUGCAAACUGCGAAUACCGGAGAAUGUUAUCACGGGAGACACACGGCGGGUGCUAACGUCCGUCGUGAAGAGGGAAACAACCCAGACCGCCAGCUAAGGUCCCAAAGUCAUGGUUAAGUGGGAAACGAUGUGGGAAGGCCCAGACAGCCAGGAUGUUGGCUUAGAAGCAGCCAUCAUUUAAAGAAAGCGUAAUAGCUCACUGGUCGAGUCGGCCUGCGCGGAAGAUGUAACGGGGCUAAACCAUGCACCGAAGCUGCGGCAGCGACACUAUGUGUUGUUGGGUAGGGGAGCGUUCUGUAAGCCUGUGAAGGUGUACUGUGAGGUAUGCUGGAGGUAUCAGAAGUGCGAAUGCUGACAUAAGUAACGAUAAAGCGGGUGAAAAGCCCGCUCGCCGGAAGACCAAGGGUUCCUGUCCAACGUUAAUCGGGGCAGGGUGAGUCGACCCCUAAGGCGAGGCCGAAAGGCGUAGUCGAUGGGAAACAGGUUAAUAUUCCUGUACUUGGUGUUACUGCGAAGGGGGGACGGAGAAGGCUAUGUUGGCCGGGCGACGGUUGUCCCGGUUUAAGCGUGUAGGCUGGUUUUCCAGGCAAAUCCGGAAAAUCAAGGCUGAGGCGUGAUGACGAGGCACUACGGUGCUGAAGCAACAAAUGCCCUGCUUCCAGGAAAAGCCUCUAAGCAUCAGGUAACAUCAAAUCGUACCCCAAACCGACACAGGUGGUCAGGUAGAGAAUACCAAGGCGCUUGAGAGAACUCGGGUGAAGGAACUAGGCAAAAUGGUGCCGUAACUUCGGGAGAAGGCACGCUGAUAUGUAGGUGAAGUCCCUCGCGGAUGGAGCUGAAAUCAGUCGAAGAUACCAGCUGGCUGCAACUGUUUAUUAAAAACACAGCACUGUGCAAACACGAAAGUGGACGUAUACGGUGUGACGCCUGCCCGGUGCCGGAAGGUUAAUUGAUGGGGUCAGCGCAAGCGAAGCUCUUGAUCGAAGCCCCGGUAAACGGCGGCCGUAACUAUAACGGUCCUAAGGUAGCGAAAUUCCUUGUCGGGUAAGUUCCGACCUGCACGAAUGGCGUAAUGAUGGCCAGGCUGUCUCCACCCGAGACUCAGUGAAAUUGAACUCGCUGUGAAGAUGCAGUGUACCCGCGGCAAGACGGAAAGACCCCGUGAACCUUUACUAUAGCUUGACACUGAACAUUGAGCCUUGAUGUGUAGGAUAGGUGGGAGGCUUUGAAGUGUGGACGCCAGUCUGCAUGGAGCCGACCUUGAAAUACCACCCUUUAAUGUUUGAUGUUCUAACGUUGACCCGUGAUCCGGGUUGCGGACAGUGUCUGGUGGGUAGUUUGACUGGGGCGGUCUCCUCCUAAAGAGUAACGGAGGAGCACGAAGGUUGGCUAAUCCUGGUCGGACAUCAGGAGGUUAGUGCAAUGGCAUAAGCCAGCUUGACUGCGAGCGUGACGGCGCGAGCAGGUGCGAAAGCAGGUCAUAGUGAUCCGGUGGUUCUGAAUGGAAGGGCCAUCGCUCAACGGAUAAAAGGUACUCCGGGGAUAACAGGCUGAUACCGCCCAAGAGUUCAUAUCGACGGCGGUGUUUGGCACCUCGAUGUCGGCUCAUCACAUCCUGGGGCUGAAGUAGGUCCCAAGGGUAUGGCUGUUCGCCAUUUAAAGUGGUACGCGAGCUGGGUUUAGAACGUCGUGAGACAGUUCGGUCCCUAUCUGCCGUGGGCGCUGGAGAACUGAGGGGGGCUGCUCCUAGUACGAGAGGACCGGAGUGGACGCAUCACUGGUGUUCGGGUUGUCAUGCCAAUGGCACUGCCCGGUAGCUAAAUGCGGAAGAGAUAAGUGCUGAAAGCAUCUAAGCACGAAACUUGCCCCGAGAUGAGUUCUCCCUGACUCCUUGAGAGUCCUGAAGGAACGUUGAAGACGACGACGUUGAUAGGCCGGGUGUGUAAGCGCAGCGAUGCGUUGAGCUAACCGGUACUAAUGAACCGUGAGGCUUAACCUU
rnacentral:rRNA from 1 species